rnacentral:sRNA from 1 species
AUCGGCCUUGCUGUGAGCGUCUGAGGAUGUUCGCGGGGCCGCAAGUCGCUUGAGACUUUUGACCACGGAUGUACUGGCACUGGAAUUGAAGUGAUGUGAGGAAGGUCGGCCCGGCCUUUUUUGUU